UUCCUGGGGAGGGAGAGGCAAAGAAGAAACAAGUUUUAACAAAGAACCGUGUGUGUAUUUAUUGUUAAAGUAGAAAGGAUUAGAAAUGAGAACCAACCAUCAAAUUACAGCCCUCAAAAAAGCAAACCAAGGCAGCAGAACCAACAUUAUUGAAACAUAUUUCUUUCCUGUCUUCACUUAAAUAUUCUGAAAGACCUUCUGCAACAUCUUUAAGAAGGGUAAAGCAGGUAAAUAAUCCAAACAGUACUGCAUUUAAUACUCUACUGAAAUACCCAAUUGUGUCCACUAUUUACAAAUCAAAUGUAAAUUAUGCUCUACCCCCAGGUGUACCCAGAGCACAUUUGACUAAAAUUUGUAGUGUGGGAGAUAUGCAAAAUCUAACAAUGCAUAUUCGUGCUAGUUAACAUGUGAAGGGGUUAAGACCAUAGAACUGUAUUGCUGAUAGGCAAACUCAGACUAACGUGUGCUGUCAUUUCCCCCUUCUCUCCUGGGGGGGGGGGG